rnacentral:rRNA from 1 species
GAGUUUGAUUUCAAGUCUAACCUGCCCACUGAGUGGUUAAAUGGCCGCGGUAUUUUGACCGUGCAAAGGUAGCAUAGUCACUAGUUUUUUAAUUGAAAGCUUGUAUGAAGGGUUUGAUGAAAAAGUAGCUGUCUCUAUAAGAAUUUUUUAAAAAUUUAUUUUUAAGUAAAAAAGCUUAGAUAAACAUUGAAGACGAGAAGACCCUAUAGAGUUUCAUAUAUUUAAAAGUUUUAUUGAAUAAUGAUAAUUAGAGCGAUAAUUUUCUUGAAUGUAUUUUGUUGGGGUGAUGGAAAAAUUUAUUAAACUUUUUUUUGUAUAAGAUAUUUAUUUGUAAAUAGAUGAUCCUAAAAUUUAGAUUAAAAGAAGAAAUUACCUUAGGGAUAACAGCGUAAUUUUUUCUAGAGUUCUUAUCGAAGAAAGAGUUUGCGACCUCGAUGUUGGAUUAAAAUUAAUAAUUGGUGUAGAGGCUAGUUUAUUAGGUCUGUUCGACCUUUAAAAUUUUACAUGAUCUGAGUUUAAACCGGUG